UCGUUGUAGCAAUACGAUGGAAAGUUUAGUGGCGAACGGGUGCUUAACACGUGGGCAACCUGCCAGGAAGUGGGGGAUAGCUCGCCGAAAGGCGAAUUAAUACCGCAUGUGAUUAGAGAGGACAUCCUUUCGAAAUUAAAGUCGGGGCAACCUGACGCUUCUUGUGGGGCCCGCGGCCUAUCAGCUAGUUGGUGAGGUAACGGCUCACCAAGGCUUUGACGGGUAGCUGGUCUGAGAGGACGACCAGCCACACUGGGACUGAGACACGGCCCAGACACCUACGGGUGGCAGCAGUCGAGAAUUUUUGACAAUGGGGGAAACCCUGAUCGAGCGACGCCGCGUGGAGGAUGAAGGUCUUCGGAUUGUAAACUCCUGUCAUUGGGGAACAAUGCACAGAUAUUAACUAUAUUUGUGUUGAUAGUACCCGAAGAGGAAGAGACGGCUAACUCUGUGCCAGCAGCCGCGGUAAUACAGAGGUCUCAAGCGUUGUUCGGAUUCAUUGGGCGUAAAGGGUGCGUAGGCGGCGCGGUAAGUCGGGUGUGAAAUCUCGGAGCUUAACUUCGAAACUGCAUUCGAUACUGCCGUGCUUGAGGACUGGAGAGGAGACUGGAAUUCUCGGUGUAGCA
rnacentral:rRNA from 1 species